rnacentral:rRNA from 1 species
AGGAAGCACCGGCUAACUACGUGCCAGCAGCCGCGGUGAUACGUAGGGUGCAAGCGUUGUUCGGAAUCACUGGGCGUAAAGGGAGCGUAGGCGGAGCCGUAAGUUGGAAGUUUAAUACCCGGGCUUAACCCGGGAUCUGCUUUCAAUACUGCGGUCCUUGAGUAAGGAAGAGGGAGAUGGAAUUCCAGGUGUAGCGGUGGAAUGCGUAGAUAUCUGGAAGAACACCAGCAGCGAAGGCGGUCUCCUGGUCCUAUACUGACGCUGAGGCUCGAAAGUUAGGGGAGCAAACAGGAUUAGAUACCCUGGUAGUCCUAACCGUAAACUAUGGAUACUAGAUGUUGGGGGAGCCAAUCUUUCCAGCGUCGUCGCUAACGCA